AUGCAAUCUGGUUUCAGAGCUGGUCAUGGGUGCACCUCAGCCACGCUCAAGGUCCUAAACGAUAUCUUAACCGCCAUCGAUAAGAAACAUUACUGUGCAGCCGUAUUCAUUGAUCUGGCCAAGGCUUUCGACUCUGUCACAUCCUCAUCGGCAGACUCGACAGCCUUGGUUUCUCAAAUGAUUGCCUCGCCUGGUUCACCAACUACUUCUCUGAUAGAGUUCAGUGUGUCAAAUCGGAGGGUCUGCUGUCCGGACCUCUGGCAGUCUCUAUGGGGUUCAAUUCUUGGACCGACUCUCUUCUCUGUAUACAUCAAUGAGGUCGCUCUUGCUGCUGGUGAGUCCCUGAUCCACCUCUACGCAGACGACACCAUUCUGUAUACUUCCGGCCCUUCUUUGGACACUGUGUUAACAACCCUCCAGGCAAGCUUCAAUGCCAUACAACUCUCCUUCCGUGGCCUCCAAUUGCUCUUAAAUACAAGUAAAACUAAAUGCAUGCUCUUCAACCGAUCGCUACCUGCACCUACCCGCCUGUCCAACAUCACUACUCUGGACGGCUCUGACUUAGAAUACGUGGACAACUACAAAUACUUAGGUGUCUGGUUAGACUGUAAACUCUCCUUCCAGACCCAUAUCAAACAUCUCCAAUCCAAAGUUAAAUCUAGAAUUGGCUUCCUAUUUCGAAACAAAGCAUCCUUCACUCAUGCUGCCAAACAUACCCUUGUAAAACUGACCAUCCUACCAAUCCUCGACUUUGGCGAUGUCAUUUACAAAAUAGCCUCCAAUACCCUACUCAACAAAUUGGAUGCAGUCUAUCACAGUGCAAUCCGUUUUAUCAGCAAAGCCCCAUAUACUACCCACCAUUGCGACCUGUACGCUCUCGUUGGCUGGCCCUCGCUUCAUACUCGUCGCCAAACCCACUGGCUCCAUGUCAUCUACAAGACCCUGCUAGGUAAAGUCCCCCCUUAUCUCAGCUCGCUGGUCACCAUAGCAUCUCCCACCUGUAGCACACGCUCCAGCAGGUAUAUCUCUCUAGUCACCCCCAAAACCAAUUCUUUCUUUGGCCGCCUCUCCUUCCAGUUCUCUGCUGCCAAUGACUGGAACGAACUACAAAAAUCUCUGAAACUGGAAACACUUAUCUCCCUCACUAGCUUUAAGCACCAACUGUCAGAGCAGCUCACAGAUUACUGCACCUGUACAUAG
rnacentral:lncRNA from 1 species